rnacentral:rRNA from 1 species
ACUUAAAUUGAAGAGUUUGAUCAUGGCUCAGAUUGAACGCUGGCGGCAGGCCUAACACAUGCAAGUCGAGCGGUAGCACAGAGAGCUUGCUCUCGGGUGACGAGCGGCGGACGGGUGAGUAAUGUCUGGGAAACUGCCUGAUGGAGGGGGAUAACUACUGGAAACGGUAGCUAAUACCGCAUAACGUCGCAAGACCAAAGUGGGGGACCUUCGGGCCUCAUGCCAUCAGAUGUGCCCAGAUGGGAUUAGCUAGUAGGUGGGGUAACGGCUCACCUAGGCGACGAUCCCUAGCUGGUCUGAGAGGAUGACCAGCCA